rnacentral:rRNA from 1 species
UGGGGAAUAUUGGACAAUGGGCGAAAGCCUGAUCCAGCCAUGCCGCGUGUGUGAAGAAGGUCUUCGGAUUGUAAAGCACUUUAAGUUGGGAGGAAGGGCAGUAAGCGAAUACCUUGCUGUUUUGACGUUACCGACAGAAUAAGCACCGGCUAACUCUGUGCCAGCAGCCGCGGUAAUACAGAGGGUGCGAGCGUUAAUCGGAUUUACUGGGCGUAAAGCGCGCGUAGGUGGUUCGUUAAGUUGAAUGUGAAAGCCCCGGGCUCAACCUGGGACCUGCAUCCAAAACUGGCGAGCUAGAGUAGGGCAGAGGGUGGUGGAAUUUCCUGUGUAGCGGUGAAAUGCGUAGAUAUAGGAAGGAACACCAGUGGCGAAGGCGACCACCUGGGCUCAUACUGACACUGAGGUGCGAAAGCGUGGGGAGCAAACAGG